AUAUAAUUGAGAAAGCAAUUCCCAACACCGUUUCAGUUUCUCUCUUCUUUUACUCUCGUAUCAUCGCUUCCCUUCUCCUUCAGUUUCUCUCUUACCUUCUCCUUCAGUUUCAAACAAAAAACCUUCAGCCAUCGCGCCGCCAUGCCUCCAACGGCAGUCGCUACGGCUAUAAACACAAAAACCAACGCAGAGAUGAUGACUCUCCACAGCGGCGAUGAAGAAGAUGACGGUGGCGCCGCCGCACCUAGGAAAUGGCUGGAAGGAGGCGAAUCUGAAAGGGGUCGAGUGGAAAUCAUAACGGAGAAUCUCCAAAAAAUCAAGGAUUCCGCGAUAUGAAGAGCGAAUCGAGCAACAACAACCUUCAAUCGGCGGAAGUGACGGUGAUGAGCAGCGGUGGAAAGCUUUUCAGGCGCCAAGAUUCUUCUAUUGGAGUUGGAGCACCUGUACGUGCAAAGAUGAGAGCCGACAGUAUCACAGAGGCAGCUGUUGCAUCAUCCUUAUGCAGUCAAGGACCGUAGAUGCACCUAUUAGGGGAAAAGAGAAGAGUCCAAAAAGUACUGAGUUCUGAAGUAAACAACGACGAUGCUACUCAGCAAGUGGUGUCUCUUGCCAAACAAAUUGGUGGUGUUACUAUCCUAAAAAAGGAAAAUCCGAUAUAAUAAGAGAUGGUGACACAGGUAUAAAAGACUAGAAGUCUUGUCUGCAUUUACAAAUGCUGUAAGUAUUCUGAAUUCCCGUUUCUGUUGCACUUGUUACCUUGUAUCAUUGUGAUUAGGUUGCCUGAUGUUGUCAUCAAUUUACAUUUUGAUGCUUGAGCUAUACAACUGAUCAGUGUUGUCAAAAUCGCGAGUCAACUCGCUGAAUCGCACGAGUUUGCGCUUCACCCAUAGAUGACCGAGCAAAAUCGUGAUCAGAAUCGCCGGAGAAGAGGAUCGGCGCCGGAUCGUCGUGCUGGAGCGGUGAAUCGCAGGAACGGCGUGCGUUCCGAUUUGAGGAGGUUCCGGGUCGGGUCACGAAACCCAAUUUUUUUUUUUUUUGGGAACUGUAUUAAAAGCCACAGCCACGUUCCCUUUUCCUUUUUUUGCACAAGACUCAUUAAAAGCCACGUAUUAAAAGCCACCUUUCAUUUUCCUAUUUUUUUUAAUUAAACCUCUUUCUUGACCUUCCACCCACGUUUCAUUUUCUUUUUUUUUUAAUAAAUAAUUAAAACUAACUUUCUUUCUUAACCUUCCACCCACGUUUCAUUUUCUUUUUUUUUUUAAUAAAUAAUUAAAACUAACUUUCUUUCUUAACCUUCCACCCACCGUCUCAUUUUCUUUUUUUUUUAAUAAAUAGUUAAAACUUUCUUUCUUUCUUAACCUUCCACCCACCGUCUAUUUUUUUUUUUUUAAUAAAUAACUAAAUCUUUCUAAAUUUGAAGCAAGCAGUUGAAGAGUUAUGGACACAUUUUUCCCUCCAAGUGAACAAACAUUUCCCUCCAUCUCUCACUAUAAAAUCAAAUUAUCUUCCUCUCUAUCACCAUACUAUCAGUUACCUCUUUGUUUUGUUUCCCUCUUUUUUUUCACCCUCAUUUGGUCAUGCUGAAGAUGAAAUUGAUGAGAAUGAAGAUCAUAUUCCCUGAUUUAGGAUUGAAUAAUAUCAUAGAUAUCUAGAGUAGUAGUUUUACAUUAGGAUUAAGUUAUUUGCUUCUGUUUGAGUUAUUUGCUUCUGUUUGAACUUAUUUGAUUUGUUUUGUUUCAAGUUAUGUGAUUUGUUUCGGUUUGAGUUCCAUGUUGAAUUGUUUGAGUUUUGAAUUUUAAUCUUUAUGUUUGAGGUUACGAUCCUACGGUUUUGUAUUACGAUCCUUUUCCGAUCUAUGGUCAUCUAUUUUGGUAGGAUCUUACGAUCCGUGUUACGAUUAUCCGAGUUACGAACUACUACCCUUCUCCCGAUCCUAAUCCGAUUUACGGGUUUCACAACAGUGCAACUGAUAAUCAUUUAAAGAAUAUCCAUAUUCUUUUACCUCCUAUGAUGCUUGUGCAUCUCAAACCGGACAUAUAAUUGGUCUAGGUCUUAGAUCAGGUUUUCUGAAUCUUUCGUGAGGUUUAGGGGGGCAUUUGAAAGAGCUUAUUUGAACUUAUUUUCUGAUGCAACUUCAUGCAAGUACUUGUGUAAGUAUCCUGAAGAGCUUGUAAAAUUAGUGUAGUGUAAUGGACAUACAAUGCAAGCUAAUUUUCAACCGACGUCCAAUGAAAAUCAAUUGGUCUGUUAUGUCAGUCCACUUUUGUAACUGCAUCUAGGAAUUAAUGAUAUGAAAUGGAAAAAUAGUGAGCUCUCAUUAGACGCCAAUGCAAAACCGGUUUAUUCGGAAAGUCAUUUAAACUCAAUGUUUUGCUGCUUAACCUACAUGUAAACCUGCUAACACGCUCUCUCUCCUCGGUCUCUAACCAAUUUUCCACCACCUCACAUGUGCAUACCUCCUAUCAACUUGCUGCUACUUGUCCUCUAUUUCUUUUCUAGUAUAAACUUUUAAUAUCCUAGGCCAUGUAAAACCUGCUGCUACUUGUCCUCUAUUUCUUUUCUUCUAUCUAAUAUUUCACUAUUAUCAAAUUUUAAGUAUACUCUCUCCGAUCCCUCUUAUAAGACUUAUUUGAUGAUUUGUUUGAUCCUUCUGGGGGAUUUUAACAGUAAGCAUGUUUAAUCACUGAACUAUGUUGACAGUGCUUUGAUGUUAUACAUUGUAUACUCUGUCAUGUUCACUUUGCUAGCUUCAAUUCAGGCCUUGCAUAGUUGCAUCAUUGGAUCGGAAUCUUCAAAUAUUUGGCUCUGGAGUGAGAAUUGUUGCCUGCUAUUAAUGCUUGAUCUAAAUGAAGCAUGUAUUGUAUUUAGAAAAAUAUUAUAUCAAAUAAUCUAUGUAUGGUUUGUAUUGCAGGUGUGUGGUUGCAUUUACUUCUGAUAUAAUAUUUUUUAUAACAAAACACUCACUUGUUAGGAUUAUGAAACAAUUGCUGCUCAUUUUUCUGUCUGAUAUUGCUAUUGCAGAGAAUUUCAAUACUCAGUUUAAUGUAUUGCUCUGAAUGGUGAAUGCUAUUUAUUAGUCCUUGCAUAAUUGGUGAAUAAUGUUUGGGAUGAUGCUGCUUUUAAAUUUUAUGUGCAGGUAGUGAUGAUUAUUAGUCAAAUUCAUAUAUGGUGUUUCUUAUUUUAAUUGUAAGUUAUAAUGCUGAGGCUGUUUGGUUGCAUAAAUGAAUUGAAAGUAUUUGCUUAUAAUGUUUGGGAUUUAAGAGCACGUUGUAAUAAUUCUGUAGAUAAUAGAAGUAGUUUUCUUCUUAUACAUAUUAUUUAGAUUCUUAAUGUUUGGGAUUUGACCUUAAUAUUAAUUUGCUUCUAAUUAAUUAGAUUCUAAUCAUCAAUAUUAUUGUUAAU